UACAGAGGUCUCAAGCGUUGUUCGGAUUCAUUGGGCGUAAAGGGUGCGUAGGUGGCGGGGGUAAGUCAGGUGUGAAAUCUCGAGGCUCAACCUCGAAACUGCACUUGAUACUGCCUUGCUCGAGUACUGGAGAGGAGAUUGGAAUUUACGGUGUAGCAGUGAAAUGCGUAGAUAUCGUAAGGAAGACCAGUGCGAAGCGAUCUCUGGACAGUUACUGACACUGAGGCACGAAGGCCAGGG
rnacentral:rRNA from 1 species